UACGUAGGGUGCAAGCGUUAAUCGGAAUUACUGGGCGUAAAGCGUGCGCAGGCGGUUAUGCAAGACAGAGGUGAAAUCCCCGGGCUCAACCUGGGAACUGCCUUUGUGACUGCGUAGCUAGAGUGCGGCAGAGGGGGAUGGAAUUCCGCGUGUAGCAGUGAAAUGCGUAGAUAUGCGGAGGAACACCGAUGGCGAAGGCAAUCCCCUGGGCCUGCACUGACGCUCAUGCACGAAAGCGUGGGGAGCAAACAGG
rnacentral:rRNA from 1 species